rnacentral:rRNA from 1 species
UGGGGAAUAUUGCACAAUGGGCGAAAGCCUGAUGCAGCAACGCCGCGUGAGUGAUGAAGGCCUUCGGGUUGUAAAGCUCUGUCUUUUGGGACGAUAAUGACGGUACCAAAGGAGGAAGCCACGGCUAACUACGUGCCAGCAGCCGCGGUAAUACGUAGGUGGCAAGCGUUGUCCGGAUUUACUGGGCGUAAAGGAUGCGUAGGCGGAUUUUUAAGUGAGAUGUGAAAACCCUAAGCUUAACUUGGGGACUGCAUUUCAUACUGGAAAUCUAGAGUGCGGGAGAGGAGAAUGGAAUUCCUAGUGUAGCGGUGAAAUGCGUAGAGAUUAGGAAGAACACCAGUGGCGAAGGCGAUUCUCUGGACCGUAACUGACGCUGAGGCAUGAAAGCGUGGGUAGCAAACAGGAUUAGAUACCCUGGUAGUCCACGCCGUAAACGAUGAGUACUAGGUGUAGGAGGUAUCGACCCCUUCUGUGCCGCAGUUAACACAAUAAGUACUCGCUGGCAGUGGAAGUACGAUCGCAAGAUUAAAACUCAAAGGAAUUGACGGGGUCAUAGCUGUUUUCC